rnacentral:rRNA from 1 species
UACGUAGGGUGCAAGCGUUGUCCGGAAUUAUUGGGCGUAAAGAGCUCGUAGGCGGUCUGUCGCGUCUGCUGUGAAAACUCGGGGCUUAACCCCGGGCCUGCAGUGGGUACGGGCAGACUAGAGUGCGGUAGGGAGACUGGAAUUCCUGGUGUAGCGGUGAAAUGCGCAGAUAUCAGGAGGAACACCGGUGGCGAAGGCGGUCUCUGGGCCGUAACUGACGCUGAGGAGCGAAAGCGUGGGAGCGAACAGG